rnacentral:rRNA from 1 species
GACGAACGCUGGCGGCGUGCCUAAUACAUGCAAGUCGAGCGAAUCAAUAGGAGCUUGCUCCUGUUGGUUAGCGGCGGACGGGUGAGUAACACGUGGGCAACCUGCCUGUAAGACUGGGAUAACACCGGGAAACCGGUGCUAAUACCGGAUAAACCUUUUCCUUUCAUGAGGAAAAGCUGAAAGUCGGUUUCGGCUGACACCUACAGAUGGGCCCGCGGCGCAUUAGCUAGUUGGUGAGGUAACGGCUCACCAAGGCGACGAUGCGUAGCCGACCUGGGAGGGUGAUCGGCCACACUGGGACUGAGACACGGCCCAGACUCCUACGGGAGGCAGCAGUAGGGAAUCUUCCACAAUGGACGAAAGUCUGAUGGAGCAACGCCGCGUGAGCGAUGAAGGCCUUCGGGUCGUAAAGCUCUGUUGUUAGGGAAGAACAAGUACCGGAGUAACUGCCGGUACCUUGACGGUACCUAACCAGAAAGCCACGGCUAACUACGUGCCAGCAGCCGCCGCAG